UUGCAUCUAUUGACAGACCUGAAGCACAUAACUGUGGCUUUCUGGUUCCUUAAUAUUGAGAUGCAAGAUCAAUUUCUUCGCGCUUUCUGCCUGCUCACCUCGUGGCAGUUUGGAUUGAAUAGAGGAAAACACAA